UUGGUUUUUUUUUUUUUUUUUUUGCCAGGAGUGGGACGGAGUGGGUCCCGGCUGACGUGUCGGCCUCCGUCCCCGUCCCCGACGAUCUCCAUGACUCCAUCAUCACCUGACCUCACUCGCCCAAUAGGAGCGCUGGGUUCCGGGGCGGUCUGCGUCAACAAUGCAAUUUUUAAAUUUAAAUAAACAAAACAAUCGAAGGAAGCAAACUUCUCCUUGUGGUCGCGAAAAACAAGUAGAGAAAUCGUCCAAUGUCCGGGGAGCGAUGAAAAUUGGGAAUUACUGCACCAACCAACCAGGCUAUCUCCAACAGAAGACUCAUUUGGGAACCCAAAUCUAAAAUGGGUCUGCAGCACAAUACCUAUAGUCUCCAACAGAGUACCCAUACAGAAGAUCCAUUUUGGGUAUCAGGAUAGGCAUAACCCAAAUUUGGGUAUUCUCUCU